GGUCUUUUUGGCCUAGUGGGUAAGGUCCCGGGCCCGGAGGGCCCUAUCCAUGACAAUUUGACUGGCGCCAUACGGUCACCCGGAGGUUGCAGGUUCGAAUCCGGGGGUGAUUG